rnacentral:lncRNA from 10 species
GUCCCGCUCCCUGCGCCGCGCACCUGAGGCAGUCGUUGUCUCUCACAAGGCGCGCGCUCUCGGCGGGGGGCAAGAGCCCCCCCUCCAGGUAGAGGCCUAGGAAGGCCCCAGAACUGAAGCCGAAGCGCUGGCGGAUGAGACUAAUGAGAUCUGUGACGACUCGGCAUCUGUUCAAGUCGACCAGAAGCCAGAAGGCCGUACAGUGCGGGGUAGCUGGCGGCGGGUAAUCAAAUUGAAGCCGUAGCCUAACCGUCUCGGAAGCUGCCAUCUUGCUUGGUGCUCAACGGAAGCCGAGAGAUACCACGGGGCCACCGAGAGGCGUGCUCGGGCGGCUCGCCCCCGCCGGAGCCUUUGGCGUGUGCCACCUAGUGGUGAAACCUGGCUACUACAGGCUGCGUCUAGGCGAGAACUCGGAGCGUGGUUGAUUUCAUUCAAUUUUGUUCACGGCAGGGCUGAGGAAGGGAAUAAGUGAAAUGCCUUUAUUACAUUUCUACUGGGCGCUAUGUAGGGUCUCCUAAUUAAGGCAACUCUCUGGAUAAAUAACAUUUCUCCUCAGCAGUAGUCUUCUAAGAU